UCCGUAGGUGAACCUGCGGAAGGAUCAUUAAAGAUUCGACCUUCGGGUCUAUCUUAUCUUCAGCUGUGCGCUUUUGCUGCACGCUGUUGAACUUCACACACCUGUGCACACUUCGGUUGCGGUUGGUUAACUCUAGCUGCCUCCGCUUUUACAUUUAACUACUAAGUCUUGAAUGUCAAAUACAAUAAAAAUAACAACUUUCAACAACGGAUCUCUUGGCUCUCGCAUCGAUGAAGAACGCAGCGAAAUGCGAUACGUAAUGUGAAUUGCAGAAUUCAGUGAAUCAUCGAAUCUUUGAACGCAACUUGCGCUCCUUGGUAUUCCAUGGAGCAUGCCUGUUUGAGAGUCACGUAAACCCUCACCCUUACGAUGUUACAAUUGUAUUGUGGUGGAUUUGGAUUGUGCCGUAAUUGGCUCAUCCUGAAAUGCAUUAGCUUGUGCUUUUUACAGUGCUCGGCAUGGUGUGAUAAUUAUCUGCGCCGUCGCCUUAGGCCUGUUCUAUAUGUGCAGCUUCUAAUCGUCCCUUGUGGACAACUUACUUAACACUUUGGCCUCAAAUCAGGUAGGACUACCCGCUGAACUUAAGCAUAUCAAUAAGCGGAGGAAAAGAAACUAACAAGGAUUCCCCUAGUAACGGCGAGUGAAGCGGGAAAAGCUCAAAUUUAAAAUCUGACUGUCUACGACUGUCCGAGUUGUAAUCUAGAGAGGUGUUUUCCGUGCCGGACCGUGUAAAAGUCCCUUGGAACAGGGCGUCAUAGAGGGUGAGAAUCCCGUCCAUGACACGGACUACCGGUGCUCUGUGAUACACCUUCAAAGAGUCGAGUUGUUUGGGAAUGCAGCUCAAAAUGGGUGGUAAAUUCCAUCUAAAGCUAAAUAUAGGCGAGAGACCGAUAGCGAACAAGUACCGUGAGGGAAAGAUGAAAAGAACUUUGGAAAGAGAGUUAAACAGUACGUGAAAUUGUUGAAAGGGAAACGCUUGAAGU
rnacentral:sRNA from 1 species